CACUUCUAAGGAAGGCAGCAGGCGCGCAAAUUACCCAAUCCUGACUCAGGGAGGUAGUGACAAGAAAUAACAAUAAACCGGCUUAUGCCGGUUUAAUUGGAAUGAGUACAAUUUAAACAUCUUAACGAGGAACAAUUGGAGGGCAAGUCUGGUGCCAGCAGCCGCGGUAAUUCCAGCUCCAAUAGCGUAUACUAAAGUUGUUGCAGUUAAAAAGCUCGUAGUUGGAUUUCUGUGGGGACGGAGCGGCCGGCCGCACAUCGCGGUUCGAGCUAGCGCUUUCCCUACAUCCUGCCGCGAACCGUGCUACCAUUAGUUUGGUGGCGCUGGGGAUCGGCUCGAUUACUUUGAGAAAAAUAGAGUGUUCAAAGCAGGCCACAUGCCUUGAAUAAGUUAGCAUGGAAUAAUAACUAAGGACUUCGGUUCUAUUUUGUUGGUGUUCGGGACUGAAGUAAUGAUUGAUAGGGACAGUUGGGGCGGUCUGUAUUCCAAAGCGAGAGGUGAAAUUCUUAGACCUUCGGAAGACAAACAGCUGCGAAAGCGUUCCGCAAGGAUGUUCCCUUUGAUCAAGAACGAAAGUUGGGGGAUCGAAGACGAUCAGAUACCGUCGUAGUCUCAACUAUAAACUAUACCAGCUAGGGAUCGGCCAACGUUAUUUUAUACCGACUUGGUCGGCACCUUAUGAGAAAUCAAAGCAUCUGGGUUCCGGGGGGAGUAUGGUCGCAAGGCUGAAACUUAAAGGAAUUGACGGAAGGGCACCACCAGCCGUGGAGCCUGUGGCUUAAUUUGACUCAACACGGGAAAACUUACCAGGUCCAGACAUAGUAAGGAUUGACAGAUUGAUAGCUCUUUCUUGAUUCUGUGGGUGGUGGUGCAUGGCCGUUCUUAGUUGGUGGAGUGAUUUGUCUGGUUAAUUCCGUUAACGAACGAGACCCCAGCCUGCUAAAUAGCGCGCGUGAGCUUUGCUCGCGGCGAGCUUCUUAGAGGGACUAUGAUGCGCGAUAGCACAUGGAAGUUUGGGGCAAUAACAGGUCUGUGAUGCCCUUAGAUGUUCUGGGCCGCACACGGGCUACACUGGCGCCUGCAACGAGCAUAUCAGCUGGCCCGAGAGGGUCUUGGCUAAUCUUUUGAACCGGCGCCGUGCUUGGGAUUGACCUUUGCAAUUGUUGGUCAUGCAACGAGGAAUGCCUUGUAAACGCGAGUCAUCAGCUCGCAUUGAAUACGUCCCUGCCCUUUGUACACACCGCCCGUCGCUCCUACCGAUGAAUGUUCCGAUGAAAUUUUCGGAGAGCACCUGUGAACUUGGCUCUGCCUUGCGAACGGGAGGCUCAAAGUCACUUAAAUCUGAACAUUUCGAGG
rnacentral:rRNA from 1 species